GGGGAAUAUUGCGCAAUGGGGGGAACCCUGACGCAGCAACGCCGCGUGAGUGAUGAAGGUUUUCGGAUCGUAAAACUCUGUCUUUGGGGAAGAAGAAAGUGACGGUACCCAAGGAGGAAGCCCCGGCUAACUACGUGCCAGCAGCCGCGGUAAUACGUAGGGGGCGAGCGUUGUCCGGAAUUACUGGGCGUAAAGGGUGCGUAGGCGGCCAAUCAAGUCAGAUGUGAAAUACCACGGCUUAACCGUGGGGGUGCAUUUGAAACUGGAUGGCUUGAGUGCAGGAGAGGAAAGUGGAAUUCCUAGUGUAGCGGUGAAAUGCGUAGGGAUUAGGAGGAACACCAGUGGCGAAGGCGGCUUUCUGGACUGUAACUGACGCUGAGGCACGAAAGCGUGGGGAGCGAAC
rnacentral:rRNA from 1 species